rnacentral:rRNA from 1 species
AGUGGGGAAUAUUGGACAAUGGGCGAAAGCCUGAUCCAGCCAUGCCGCGUGAGUGAAGAAGGCCUUAGGGUUGUAAAGCUCUUUCAGCGGGGAAGAUAAUGACGGUACCCGCAGAAGAAGCCCCGGCUAACUUCGUGCCAGCAGCCGCGGUAAUACGAAGGGGGCUAGCGUUGUUCGGAUUUACUGGGCGUAAAGCGCGCGUAGGCGGGUCACUAAGUCAGGGGUGAAAUCCCGAGGCUUAACCUCGGAACUGCCUUUGAUACUGGUGACCUGGAGAUCGGGAGAGGUUGGUGGAAUUCCGAGUGUAGAGGUGAAAUUCGUAGAUAUUCGGAGGAACACCAGAAGCGAAGGCGGCCAACUGGCCCGAUACUGACGCUGAGGCGCGAAAGCGUGGGGAGCAAA